rnacentral:rRNA from 1 species
GCGUAGGCGGUUCUAUAAGUCAGUGGUGAAAUACGGCAGCUCAACUGUCGAGGUGCCAUUGAUACUGUAGAACUUGAGUACAGACGAGGUAGGCGGAAUUGACGGUGUAGCGGUGAAAUGCUUAGAUAUCGUCAAGAACACCGAUAGCGAAGGCAGCUUACUAGACUGUAACUGACGCUGAGGCACGAAAGUGUGGGGAUCAAACAGGAUUAGAUACCCUGGUAGUCCACACUGUAAACGAUGAUUACUCGAUGUUGGCGAUACACAGCCAGCGUCUUAGCGAAAGCGAUAAGUAAUCCACCUGGGGAGUACGCCGGCAACGGUGAAACUCAAAGGAAUUGA